rnacentral:pre_miRNA from 1 species
GUGACAGAAGAGAGUGAGCACACGGCCGGGCGUGACGGCACCGGCGCGGGUGUGCCGUCGCGGCCGCGUGCUCACUGCUCUUUCUGUCAU